AAAGAUGGCGAACACCCGAUCUAAGUGAAAGGGUUCUGAAUCAGUUUUAACCGAGAGCAUGAAGAAACGAAGAAUCGAUAACGUGAUUUUAACUUCACAAAGACGAACACGUAUCUUAGAGACAGAGCAAGCAGAUGGCAUCAGUUAAUAAAGACCGAAGGGAUUAAAACAGACCCUCCGUUGGCCAAGCUAAUGCCUUGAACAGUAGUGAAAAGAAGUGCCUGCCUACGAGGAUUUCCAUAUAUUUUCAAGGAAAAGAUGUAUGUUUUGAAAAGUGUUGAAAGUGACAUGCAGGAGGACUAAGCAGGGAUGAAACUGAAGUACCAUGACGUCAUGACAAUCAUGGAUGAUGACUUUUGUGUUGAAAUAGAUGGGGAACAAAUCAUUCAGUGCAAUUCUUUAGCGGAUUUUUUUUUUUGCGGACUUCUCAUCAUUAUAUAUGCUUUCAACUAAGCAUAUCCUAGGAAUUGGCCAAACAUUCCUCUUCAUUCAGAAAGUCAUCUCAGGACUACAUGAUGAAUUCGAAGAACUGGACAGAAAGCUCUCAUCGGUGGUGUCCGAAAUAACUAGGGCGAUGAAUUAUGUUUUUUGGACUUUAUAAUAGGCAGAAUAUCAUUUUUAAGGGGAUUCUGGGGCGUUAAAAAUGCUCAUAUUCAUCUAGAAACUAGAUAAGAGUCUGGAAACAGAAAACUUGAUCCUGAAAAGAGAUACAGGUGGUAAUUUUAUUUGAUCCUGAAGUCUCUACAGGUGGUAGGUUUCUGUGAAGGGCUGAGAUUAAUUAUUAAUGAUUGCCUUUUGCUAUUUUUAAUUAGUUGUAUAUCAAAAUUGAAAACAAAUCACAUUAUUGCAUACAUAAAAUCCUGUGUAGCUUGGAAAAUGAAUGACAUAUUAUUAUGUUUAAUUUUUAUGCUGCUAUGUGUCCCAAGAUGUUGAAAGAGUCACACCUUUGGAAUAAAGUUGAAUUAUCUACAUUCCAAAGAAAA